CAAAGGAUAGUUUAUAAAAAUAAUAGUUUUGGGAAUUAUUGAUAAGUAGUAAUACUUUUCUUUGA
rnacentral:tRNA from 1 species